rnacentral:rRNA from 1 species
CAAUAGCGUAUAUUUAAGUUGUUGCAGUUAAAAAGCUCGUAGUUGGAUUUCGGUUAAGAGCGACCGGUCCGCCGUUUGGUGUGCACUGGUUGGUUUUAACUUCCUGUAGAGGACGUGCUCUGGGUUUAACGACCUGGACUCGGAGUCUACGUGGUUACUUUGAAAAAAUUAGAGUGUUCAAAGCGGGCUUACGCUUGAAUAUUUCAGCAUGGAAUAACACUAUAGGACUCCUGUCCUAUUUCGUUGGUCUCGGGACGGGAGUAAUGAUUAAGAGGAACAGUUGGGGGCAUUCGUAUUUCAUUGUCAGAGGUGAAAUUCUUGGAUUUAUGAGAGACGAACUUCUGCGAAAGCAUUUGCCAAGGAUGUUUUCAUUG